AGUGAACGCUGGCGGUAGGCCUAACACAUGCAAGUCGAACGGCAGCACAGUAAGAGCUUGCUCUUACGGGUGGCGAGUGGCGGACGGGUGAGGAAUACAUCGGAAUCUACUUUUUCGUGGGGGAUAACGUAGGGAAACUUACGCUAAUACCGCAUACGACCUACGGGGGAAAGCAUGGGAUCUUCGGACCUUGCGCGAUUGAAUGAGCCGAUGUCGGAUUAGCUAGUUGGCGGGGUAAAGGCCCACCAAGGCGACGAUCCGUAGCUGGUCUGAGAGGAUGAUCAGCCACACUGGAACUGAGACACGGUCCAGACUACUACGGGAGGCAGCAGUGGGGAAUAUUGGACAAUGGGCGCAAGCCUGAUCCAGCCAUACCGCGUGGGUGAAGAAGGCCUUCGGGUUGUAAAGCCCUUUUGUUGGGAAAGAAAAGCAGUAGGUUAAUACCCCGCUGUUCUGACGGUACCCAAAGAAUAAGCACCGGCUAACUUCGUG
rnacentral:rRNA from 1 species